CUCCAGUUGAUCGCAUGGUCUUCUGGGAAAGCUUUCGCGGUAUGGGAUGGGGUCGCGUCCUAUCAGCUUGACGGCGGGGUAACGGCCCACCGUGGCUUCGACGGGUAGCCGGCCUGAGAGGGCGACCGGCCACAUUGGGACUGAGAUACGGCCCAGACUCCUACGGGAGGCAGCAGUGGGGAAUAUUGCACAAUGGGCGCAAGCCUGAUGCAGCGACGCCGCGUGAGGGAUGGAGGCCUUCGGGUUGUAAACCUCUCUUAUCGGGGAGCAAGCGAGAGUGAGUUUACCCGUUGAAUAAGCACCGGCUAACUACGUGCCAGCAGCCGCGGUAAUACGUAGGGUGCAAGCGUUAUCCGGAAUUAUUGGGCGUAAAGGGCUCGUAGGCGGUUCGUCGCGUCCGGUGUGAAAGUCCAUCGCUUAACGGUGGAUCCGCGCCGGGUACGGGCGGG
rnacentral:rRNA from 1 species